CCCCAUUGCCUUGGCCUCCGCUUCAUUUGCCAGAUUUAAUCACGUUUUGCCAAAUGGCUUUAACCCAGUCCUCUCACGUAAAGAUGGUGAUGGUUCUAUUAGCCAUAAUGGUUCUCAUGUCAUCAGCUGUUGCUGUUACCCCUCAGGAUUUGAUCUUGAAACCUCUCAAUUUCGGUCGGAAGCUUCUGGAUUAUUAUAGCCCUCCCACCUCAUACCCUGAUAUACCAAGUGGAGGGGGAGGCCAACCAUGCUGUAAAUAAGAAGAUAUAACUCUGAAAACGAUUUGAGAAGAAAAAGAAUGAAAGGAACAAGGGCAAAAGACAUUACUGUUAGAGAAAAAUGUUCUUUAAUUUGAUUUUAAGAGAAUAAAUAUGGUUUGGAAAAGUAUAAGGCAAUAAAUUGAAUCGCACAGACCAAAUUAGUAUUUGUAACUAUAUAUCCAUCCCAUUUAUUCUGUACUCUAGAGCUGUGUUAAGUGUUAAACAAGAUAUGUCUGCUUUUUUUCUUGACCAUAUUGUAUUAAUCAAAUGCUUUCAUAUACGUUUCAAAGCUUAA